rnacentral:rRNA from 1 species
UGUGUGUUAGUGGAAGCGUCUGGAAAGGCGCGCGAUACAGGGUGACAGCCCCGUACACAAAAGCGCAUGUGCUGUGAGCUCGAUGAGUAGGGCGGGACACGUGAUAUCCUGUCUGAAUAUGGGGGGACCAUCCUCCAAGGCUAAAUACUCCUGACUGACCGAUAGUGAACCAGUACCGUGAGGGAAAGGCGAAAAGAACCCCGGCGAGGGGAGUGAAAAAGAACCUGAAACCGUGUACGUACAAGCAGUGGGAGCACCCUUUUGGGUGUGACUGCGUACCUUUUGUAUAAUGGGUCAGCGACUUAUAUUCUGUAGCAAGGUUAACCGAAUAGGGGAGCCGGAGGGAAACCGAGUCUUAACCGGGCGUUAAGUUGCAGGGUAUAGACCCGAAACCCGGUGAUCUAGCCAUGGGCAGGUUGAAGGUUGGGUAACACUAACUGGAGGACCGAACCGACUAAUGUUGAAAAAUUAGCGGAUGACCUGUGGCUGGGGGUGAAAGGCCAAUCAAACCGGGAGAUAGCUGGUUCUCCCCGAAAGCUAUUUAGGUAGCGCCUCGUGAAUUCAUCUCCGGGGGUAGAGCACUGUUUCGGCUAGGGGGCCAUCCCGGCUUACCAACCCGAUGCAAACUGCGAAUACCGGAGAAUGUUAUCACGGGAGACACACGGCGGGUGCUAACGUCCGUCGUGAAGAGGGAAACAACCCAGACCGCCAGCUAAGGUCCCAAAGUCAUGGUUAAGUGGGAAACGAUGUGGGAAGGCCCAGACAGCCAGGAUGUUGGCUUAGAAGCAGCCAUCAUUUAAAGAAAGCGUAAUAGCUCACUGGUCGAGUCGGCCUGCGCG